rnacentral:misc_RNA from 1 species
AUUUUUUUUUAUAUAAAUAUCAUUAAUAAUGAAUGAUGCCUGUUAAAAUUUGGAAUGUUAUUACAGAGAGAAUAAAAAGAGAGAUAAACAUGGUUCAGUUGCUAGGAGGCUGAAUCCAUGGACACAAAGUCUCAAGGGCUACAUUUUAUUCAUUUGUAUUUGUACAUAUAAUAUAUAUAAGAGUCCAUAUUUAUAAAUGGAAGAUAAAAGAUGUAUAUAGUAUGCUAUCAAUAGAACAUGUAUAAUAUGAUUUGCUAAUCAAUAAAACAAGUAUCAAUCAACUCACAAAUUUUUGCUAAUCAAUCAUAUGAUUUUCUUAUAAUCAUGUAAUUCUUCAAUUAUUUCGGUGCUUAUUUUACUGGUUGCAUUACAAAGGAUAGACUUUGUGGUAAUUGAUACAUGCACCGUCUUUUACUGCGCUAUCUUAUUGCUAUGUGCCUGAAUUUGAUGCUAAAAUUGACAACGAUCUUUAUAGGUUCUAGCUGCCUACUGUUAGCUUAGUUCAACGCGAGCGUAAUGAAUUUAUGUUAGCUGCUUGAUUUGAAUAAAUGAGAAGUUAAUCUAAGAAAUGAACCUUAACUGAUUUUCGAUGCUUGUGCAAUGAACAUAAUCUAAGGCUGCAUUUGGUCUCUACAUUUCACUCUCACAGAUUUUCCUCUGGUGGGGAA